UUUGUAGUCUUAUGUAAGUGUAGCAGGGUUAAUGUUGUUUCCCUGAAUUUCCCCACAUGAGUUGUGCUUUUCUUUUUGAGUUUUUGU